rnacentral:tRNA from 1 species
GGAGAAGUGGCUCAGUGGUUAAGAGCAUUAGCUGCUCUUCCAGAGGACCUGGGUUCUAGUCCCAGCACCCUCA